rnacentral:rRNA from 1 species
GGAGUUAGCCGGUGCUUCUUCUGUGAGUGAUGUCCUUCCUGCCGGCUAUUAACCCGCAGGCCUUCUUCCUCACUGAAAGUGCUUUACAACCCGAAGGCCUUCUUCACACACGCGGCAUGGCUGGAUCAGGGUUGCCCCCAUUGUCCAAUAUUCCCCACUGCUGCCUCCCGUAGGAGUCUGGGCCGUGUCUCAGUCCCAGUGUGGCUGAUCAUCCUCUCAGACCAGCUACGGAUCGUCGCCUUGGUGAGCCGUUACCUCACCAACCAGCUAAUCCGACAUAGGCUCAUCCGAUAGCGCGAGGCCCGAAGGUCCCCCGCUUUCCCCCGUAGGGCGUAUGUGGUAUUAGCCUGGGUUUCCCCAGGUUAUCCCCCACUACCGGGCAGAUUCCUAUGCAUUACUCACCCGUCCGCCGCUCGCCACCAGGGAGCAAGCUCCCCGUGCUGCCGCUCGACUUGCAUGUGUUAGGCCUGCCGCCAGCGUUCAAUCUGAACCAAGAUCAAUUCUGA